rnacentral:lncRNA from 1 species
GAUCACCUGAAGUCAGGAGUUCAAGACCAGCCUGGCCAACAAGGUGAAACCCCAUCUCUAUUAAAAAUAUGAAAGUUAGCCAGAUGUGGUGGUAAUCCCAACACUCAGAGGGCUGAGAUAGGAGAAUCACUUGAACCCAAGAGAUAGAGGCCGCAGUGAGCUGAGAUUGUGCCACUGCAGCCCAGCCUGGGUGACAGAGCAAGACACCAUCUCAAUAAAAAUACAGUCUCCACAAUAACCCCAUAUUCCUGGACCUGGUUACCCAGGAGGGAGAGGACAGUGCAGAUACAGAUGGAUCACAGAGACCUACCUCUGGAAGCUGUGGUGACUAGUGACUGUUAGGUUGGUCAUUCUGGUGUCCAGUAUGUUCAACAGGGGAAGAGAUGCUCCCUGUGGCUCCCUAGGGCCUGCUUGACACCCAGCUCUUCUUUCCAGCCUUGAAUUCUGUCCAUGGCUUGUGUUUAUCGUCUCACACCAACUCCAGCCCUGAUGUUCACCAUGGCCGUGGCUUUGGUCCUGGUCAUUGCAGGAAGUUUCAGUACCGCAGUGAACUUCAUAAGGGACUUGAUUUACUUCGAAUUCUAAGAACAUCAGCCAAAAGUUAAACAGGAGGCUGCAGUCUGCCUUCAUUACCCAGCCCUCGAUGUCACCGCCACAGCCACACCAUCACCAGUGCAGCAGGACAAGCAGAGGGUGGUGUUUCUCAUACUUUUAUGUUCACAUGGAGAUCUUGUUAAAACCUAGAUUCUGAUCCUGUAGGGUCUGGGCUGGGCUGGGGCCUGAAUUCUGCUUUUCUGCAAAGCUUUCAAGAAAUGCCAGUAUUGCUGGUCCCGAAACCAGCACUUUGAGUAAUGAAACCCUAACGUUCCACCAAAUCCCUUUAGCUAUGAAGCUCGAGGUGUGCCCUUGAGUUUCUGGAGCGCACAAGCCCUAUGUGGAUUGUGAUGGGAGGGGGGAGGGGGACAAGGCCCUGUCCCUGUCCCUGUGGGGGCUCUAGGUCUCCAGGUGGUUGACUGACCACCGCCAUGGAUACAGACACAGCUCCCACCCCGCCUCCUCUCUGCCAGCCACGGCAGGUGCCAGCCUCAUCUCUCACCUGGUAACUCAGGAGAGGAAAGUGAGAUUCAAGAUGGCCCAACACACACACACACGCGCACACACACACACACACACACAAAUACACGAACCACACACACACCACAUACAACACAACACACACAAAGCACACACACAGCACACACAACACACACACAACUUUCUCUGAGGCUCCCAGGCUCCCACUGAGAGGGAGAGGUGGUGACUGCUCAGGAGGUGGGGACAUUCCUACCAAGGGUCCUGUUGUUUUCUCAAAUCUAUCCCCAUCUCUCUACCCUUGCUCUGUCUGAUAGCCAGAGAGGCCACUCAUCUUUUUUUUUUCUUUUGAGGCAGGUCUCACUUUGCCACCCAGGCUAGAAUGCAGUGGCUGGAUCACAGUCAGCCUCGAUCUUCCAGGCUCAAGUGAUCCUCCUGCCUCAGCCUCCCAAGUAGCUGAGACUACAGGCAGGUGCCUGGCUAAUUUUUAAAUUUUUUUUUUUGGUAGAGGCAGGGUCUCCCUAUAUUGCCCAAGCUGGUGUCAAACUCCUGGGUUCAAGUAAUCCUCCCACCUCGGCCUCCCAAGGUGCAGGGAUUACAGAUGUGAGUCACGGAGCCUGGCCUAGGCCUCCUAAUCUCAAACCUGCUUCCCUCCUUCGUUGCUCUGUGAGCCACCCCCAACACUGCUGCCAUCUCAUGGAACAAAAC